GAUAGACCAACCUAUUUUUCUAAGAAUAGUAUAUUUUAUAUAGUUAUUUAUUAAAUAAGAAUUUAUAAUCAUACGGUUCUAUGAUCAUUCUUAUCGUUUAAUAACAAAAUAUUUAAAUCAUCGAUAACAAAAUUUUCAAUCUGAAAUCUUUAAUAAGUUUAUAAUUUACCAAUGUUCUUGCAAAUUCAUUGAAAGUUUUAAUAUUAAAAUAUUUAUGUAAUCUUAUGGUAUAUAGUGUUUAAUAUAUAUAUAUAUAUAUAUAUUUAUUUUAUUAUUAAAUGAUAUUUUUUACUCAUAUGGUUUUAAAAUCAUGUGUAUCUUCUUAUAAUAAAAAUGUUAAAC
rnacentral:lncRNA from 1 species